UACGAAGGGGGCUAGCGUUGCUCGGAAUUACUGGGCGUAAAGGGCGCGUAGGCGGAUAGUUCAGUUGGGGGUGAAAGCCCGGGGCUCAACCUCGGAACUGCCUUCAAUACUGGCUAUCUUGAGUACGGGAGAGGUGUGUGGAACUCCGAGUGUAGAGGUGAAAUUCGUAGAUAUUCGGAAGAACACCAGUGGCGAAGGCGACACACUGGCCCGUUACUGACGCUGAGGCGCGAAAGCGUGGGGAGCAAACAGGGAUU
rnacentral:rRNA from 1 species